UACGAAGGGGGCUAGCGUUGCUCGGAAUCACUGGGCGUAAAGCGCACGUAGGCGGCUUUUUAAGUCAGGGGUGAAAUCCUGGAGCUCAACUCCAGAACUGCCUUUGAUACUGAGAAGCUUGAGUCCGGGAGAGGUGAGUGGAACUGCGAGUGUAGAGGUGAAAUUCGUAGAUAUUCGCAAGAACACCGGUGGCGAAGGCGGCCAACUGGACCAUUACUGACGCUGAGGCGCGAAAGCGUGGGGAGCAAACAGG
rnacentral:rRNA from 1 species